CCAGAACCGGACAGAGAGUUCGAUCAUGGCUCAGAUUGAACGCUGGCGGGAUGCUUUACAUGCAAGUCGAACGGCAGCACGGACUUCGGUCUGGUGGCGAGUGGCGAACGGGUGAGUAAUGUAUCGGAACGUGCCCUGAUAGCGGGGGAUAACUACGCGAAAGCGUAGCUAAUACCGCAUACGCCCUUCGAGGAAAGCGGGGACCUUCGGGCCUCGCACUAUUAGAGCGGCUUCGAUAUCGGAUUAGCUAGUUGGUGGGGUAACGGCUCACCAAGGCGACGAUCCGUAGCUGGUUUUGAAGGACGACCAGCCACACUGGGACUGAGACACGGCCCAGACUCCUACGGGAGGCAGCAGUGGGGAAUUUUGGACAAUGGGGGAAACCCUGAUCCAGCCAUCCCGCGUGUGCGAUGAAGGCCUUCCGGGUUGUAAAGCACUUUUGGCAGGAAAACGGCACGGGAUAAUACCCCCGUGCAACUGACGGUACCUGCAGAAUAAGCACCGGCUAACCGUGCCAGCAGCCGCGGUAAUACGUAGGGUGCAAGCGUUAAUCAGAUUACUGGGCGUAAAGCGUGCGCAGGCGGUUCAGGAAGAAAGAUGUGAAAUCCCAGAGCUUAACUUUGGAACUCAUUUUUAACUACCGAGCUAGAGUGUGUCAGAGGAGGUGGAAUUCCGCGUGUAGCAGUGAAAUGCGUAGAUAUGCGGAGGAACACCGAUGGCGAGAGCAGCCUCCUGGGAUAACACUGACGCUCAUGCACGAAAGCGUGGGAGCAAACAGGUUAGAUACCCUGGUAGUCCACGCCCUAAACGAUGUCAACUAGCUGUUGGGGCCUUCGGGCCUUGGUAGCGCAGCUAACGCGUGAAGUUAGCCGCCUGGAAGUACGGUCGCAAGAUUAAAACUCAAAGGAAUUGACGGGGACCCGCACAAGCGUUGGAUGAUGUGGAUUAAUUCGAUGCAACGCGAAAAACCUUACCUACCCUUGACAUGUCUGGAAUCCCGAAGAGAUUUUGGGAGUGCUCGCAAGAGAACCGGAACACAGGUGCUGCAUGGCUGUCGUCGGCACUCGUGUCGUGAGAUGUUGGGUUAAGUCCCGCAGCGAGCGCAGCCAUGUCAUUAGUUGCUACGAAAGGGCACUCUAAUGAGACUGCCGGUGACAAACCGGAGGAAGGUGAGGAUGACGUCAAGUCUCGCAAAGCCCUUAUGGGUAGGGCUUCACACGUCAUACAAUGGUCGGAACAGAGGGUCGCCAACCCGCGAGGGGGAGACCAAUCCCAGAAACCCGAUCGUAGUCCGGAUCGCAGUCUGCAACUCGACUGCGUGAAGUCGGAAUCGCUAGUAAUCGCGGAUGGCAUGUCGCGGUGAAUACGUUCCCGGGUCUUGUACACACCGCCCCGUCACACCAUGGGAGUGGGUUUUACAGAAGUAGUUAGCCUAACCGUAAGGAGGGCGAUUACCACGGUAGGAUUCAUGACUGGGGUGAAGUCGUAACAAGGUAA
rnacentral:rRNA from 1 species